AUCACAUGGAUGAAGGCCAACUCAAUGUUACCUGCUGUUUCUCCUGGAAUUUGGCACUACGUUCAACCGGCCUCACAACUGCAGCCCAGGUGUAACCACGCCAGACCAGGUGUAACCACGCCAGACCAGGUGUAACCACGCCAGACCAGGUGUAACCACGCCAGACCAGGUGUAACCACGCCAGACCAGGUGUAACCACGCCAGACCAGGUGUAACCACGCCAGACCAGGUGUAACCACGCCAGACCAGGUGUAACCACGCCCGCCCAGGUGUAACCACGCCACCUCCACAUCUGGCUUCUUCACCUGUAGGGAUAAUCUGAGACCAGCCACCCGUACAGCUGAUGAAACUGAGGAGUAUUUUAGUCUGUAAUAAAGCCCCUUUGUGUUGAAAAACUCAUUCUGAUUGGCUGUGCCUGGCUUCCCAAUGGGUGGGCCUAUGCCCUCCCAGGCCUACCCAUGGCUGCGCACCUGCCCAGUCAUAUGAAAUCCAUAUAUUAGGGCCUAAUUAAUGAAUUUAAAUUCAUUGAUUUCCUUAUAUGAACUGUGACUCAGUCAAAUCGUUGAAAUUGUUGCAUGUUGC
ensembl:lncRNA